rnacentral:rRNA from 1 species
CCGGAUUAUUAGGGUGUGAAGAGCGUGUAGGCGGAGAUGCACGAUGGGAGUGAGAUACCAGCGCUCAUCACGGGGACUGCUCUCAAAACAGUAUCGUUUGAGUGUCGGAGAGGCAAGAGGAAUACUUAGUGUGGCGCUGAAAUGUGUAGAUAUAAGGAGGAAACACCAGUGGGGAGGGCGGCGUGUUGGAGGAUAUCUGACGCUGAGGCGCGAAAGCGUGGGGAGCACACACGAUUAGAUACCCUGGUAGUGCACGCUGUAAACGAUGAGUAUAAGGUGUGUGAGGACUGACCCCCUCUGUGCCGCAGCUGACACAAUAAGUAUUCCACCUGGGGAGUACGACCGCAAGGUGGAAACUCAAAGGAAGUGACGGGGGGGCCGCACAAGCAGCAGAUUAUGUGGUGUAAUUAGACGCAACGCGAAGAACCUUACCACAGUUUGACAUCCAAUUAAAGAAGUAUAGAUCCAUUAGGUGCCCUUCGGGGAAAGUUGAGACAGGUGGUGCAUGGUUGUCGUCAGCUCGUGUCGUGAGAUGUUGGGUUAAGUCCCGCAACGAGCGCAACCCUUAUUGUUAGUUGUCAUCGCAAGAGCACUCUAGCGAGACCGCCGUUGACAAAACGGAGGAAGGCGGGGGCGGCGUCAAAUCAUCAUGCCCCUUCUCUCUUGGGCUACACACGUAAUACAAUUGUGGUUACCACAGGGAGGCAAGGGAGCGAUCCGGAGCAGAUCCCUUAAAGCCCUUUCACUUCGGAUUGCAGGGCGCAACUCGCCUGCAUGAAGCGGGAAUUCAUAGUAAUCGCGGAUCAGC